CAGAGAAAUUAUGUGGUGUUUAUUAUGAAAGUUAUGAUGUCGAAUGAAGAAGAAGGAUUACACACAAGAAAGAGAAGAAAAAUAAGAGAAUUCGAAAAAGGAAGUAAAAACGUGUUGCACCAAUAAGUAGAGUGGCGUUAUUUCGAGCAUAGAAAGAAUAAAAUCGCCACUUGAAGCAAAUAUCUCGCACCAAAGGAAAAAAGAUGUGAAAUUUAAUCACAAGAAAAAUCGACGCUCUAACUGCAAUGCA
rnacentral:lncRNA from 1 species